GGAACAUGAGCCACUGGGAAAGCCAAGAAGGAGUUCAGGCUAAUUUUCGGAGAACAUAGAAGGGGGCAAGCAGAGCAGUCUGAUGACUGUUCCAGAACAGAGAGCAACCGUUCGAAAGAGAGCAAAAAACGAGUAGAGGCUGUGGACAUCAAUGGAUCCGUUCUCUCUUGCCAUUUUGUGCGAUAUCCUGCAUCCUCUAAGAAAUCGGUAACCCCUAAACACUCUCAACUCCACCAUUAAAAAGCUUGUUCCAUACCUAGACCGUCCACC
rnacentral:lncRNA from 1 species